UACGGAGGGAGCAAGCGUUACUCGGAAUUAUUGGGCGUAAAGGGCGCGUAGGCGAUCUGACAAGUCUGGUGUGAAAGCCCACAUGUUAACUGUGGAAGUGCAUUAGAAACUGUUGGAUUUGAGUUCAGGAGAGGAAGGCAGAAUUCCCGGUGUAGCGGUGAAAUGCGUAGAGAUCGGGAGGAAUACCAGUGGCGAAGGCGGCCUUCUGGACUGACACUGACGCUGAGGCGCGAAAGCUAGGGGAGCAAACGGG
rnacentral:rRNA from 1 species